rnacentral:rRNA from 1 species
CUGGCUCAGGACGAACGCUGGCGGCGUGCCUAAUACAUGCAAGUCGAGCGGACAGAUGGGAGCUUGCUCCCUGAUGUUAGCGGCGGACGGGUGAGUAACACGUGGGUAACCUGCCUGUAAGACUGGGAUAACUCCGGGAAACCGGGGCUAAUACCGGAUGGUUGUUUGAACCGCAUGGUUCAAACAUAAAAGGUGGCUUCGGCUACCACUUACAGAUGGACCC